rnacentral:rRNA from 1 species
UACGUAGGGGGCAAGCGUUGUCCGGAAUCAUUGGGCGUAAAGAGCGCGUAGGCGGUCCGGUAAGUCCGCUCUGAAAGUCCGGGGCUCAACCCCGGGAGGCGGGCGGAUACUGUCGGGCUAGAGUCCGGAAGAGGCGAGUGGAAUUCCUGGUGUAGCGGUGAAAUGCGCAGAUAUCAGGAGGAACACCAAUGGCGAAGGCAGCUCACUGGGACGGUACUGACGCUGAGACGCGAAAGCGUGGGGAGCAAACAGG